UGAAGGUUAACAAAAUUGAGUUUUUCGGUCAAUGCUCUAUCUAAUGAAGUUUACACUCUUUAAUGUUGUUUCAAAAUUUCUAACCACAUUGUACAAUUAUAUUAAUGUAUGCUAAACUCUUUUUCAUGCUACAUAGACAUCACUAUAGAUUAAAAAAUUAGUUUAAUAAAUUUUAUAUACUACUUAAAUCAGUGGACUAAAGACUAUAAAAUAUAUAUUCUCUAGAGAAACUGACACAACAUACAUUUCAAACUUCUUUAACCAUCAUCAUAUGUCUGUUAAGGAUGAAACUACGCAAUAGAAAAAUAUUGUCAAAUUUUUUGAAUUUAUUUAAAAAUCUGAAGGUUAACCCCUACAAAAUUGAGUUUUUCGGUAAUUGUUCUAUAAAAUGAAGUUUACACUCUUUAAUGUUGUUUAAAAAUUUCUAACCACAUUAUACAUUUUUAUUAAUGUAUGCUAAACUCUCUUUCAUGGUACAUAGACAUCACUAUAGCUAUAAAAAAUGUAAUUUAAUAAAUUUUAUAUACUACUUAAAUUAGUGGACUAAACACUAUAAAAUAUAUAUUCUCUUGAGAAACGGACGCAACAUACAUUUCAAACUUCUUUGACCAUCAUUAUAUGUCUGUUAAGGAUGCAACUAUGCAAUAAAAAAAUUGUCAAAUUUAUUGAAUUUUGUUUAAAAAUAUGAAGAUUAACCCCUACAAAACUGAGUUUUUCGGUAAAUACUCUAUAUAAUAAAGUUUACACUCUUUAAUGUUGUUUAAAAAUUUCUAACCAUAUUAUACGUUUAUAUUAUUGUAUGCUAAACUCUCUUUCAUGGUACAUAGACAUCACUAUAGUUUUAAAAAAUUAAAUUUAAUUAAUUUUAUAUACUACUUAAACUAAGAAAUAUAUGGUCUACAAAUAGUACACUCUCAUCACUAAAAAAUAGCCAGAAGUAAAAGAAGAUCCACAUGAGUUAGAUCAUGAAUCAAUUGAUCAUUAUAUUCUAAAAACUAACUUGUACCAAGUGUAAAAAUUAGAUCUAGUUACAAAAACAUCCAGUUGAGAACGAAAGAACAAAUGUAACUUUUUAAAAAUUAAUUCUAAAGAACAAGUUCAAAAACAAAAUUAGAUAGAAUUUCUCAAACUAACCGUACUCUGGUUGUUUUAUUAUACUUUUUUAGUUUUGUAACUGAUUCACUUAACUAACUUUCUUCUUUAUUAUAGUACACAUAUAAUUCACUUAACUAAAUUUUUGGUUGUUUUUUUUUAUUUUCUGAAACACAUAUAAUCGAAGUCCAAACAGAUCUUAAAUUGUUCUAACAACGGAAUGUUAAUGCCACUUAAAGUCAAGGCUAAUGUAAAAUGUACAAUAAUUGUUCCACAGUUUUUUGCUUACCUUUUAUGAAGGAAGAUGUAGAUAUCUAUACUAUUAUUUAUGAAGUGAUUUUGCUGAUUUGUCGCAUUCUCCAUUAUUUUUGCUAAUUUUGCUUAUUUUUCAUAUUCUUAGUAGUUUUUAGAUUAAAUUAUCAAUUUAUUAAUUUAGAUAAUAUAAAUAUUUCGAUUUUAAUUAAUUUAUUAAUUUAAAUAAUAAAAUAUUUCAAAUUUUCUAAUUGGAAUUAUGAUUAUAAUUAUUUUAACUUUCCCAACAUUCUUACUAGGAUUUAGCUUAAAUCACUAAUUUAUUAAUUUAAAUAACAUAACAAUUUCAAAAUUUCUAAUUGGAAUUACAAUUAUAAUUAUUUUAAACAAGUUAAGACCAGUUCUUAUUUUGAGUUUGAAAUACUAGGAGAAAAUCGGUUUUGUUAUAUGGAGUUUUUGAAUUAUGAAUUAGGUAUUCUGAUUUUUUCCAAUAGUUAUUUUACGUGCAUGUUUUAUUACUGUUUAAUCUAUAAUAAAAUAUACUUUGAUAUUAAGUUUAGAGAGUUGCCUAUGUAAUCAUGUUAUGAACAUGUGCUUAAUGGUUUAGUUUCUAAAACGGCUAAAGUAGAUAUAUUCUUAAUGAAUAAUUAGAUUUAUCAUUAUGUAAUUAACCAUAAAUUAACUUUAAUAAUAAAACUAUCAUAUCUAUUGCUUCUUUUAUUAAAAGUAAACUUAUGGAAUAUUAAGAUAAGUCAAUGUAUAUAUUGAUCAAGUAAACCAAUGAAAUAUUAUCAUUAUCUCAAAUUUUGUUUUUUUAAGUUUUCUUCUAAAUUAUCAUCGAACUUUAGUUUUUAUUUAAUUUUUAUUUAUUUUGUUCUUACUUGGAUUGUGUGUAUUUUAGUAUUUUUUUUGGUAAUUUAAUAUAUGUUUCUGGUUCAAAAAUACAAAGUAGAUUAAGGAGACCAAAAGUUCACAUUCUUACUGUACUUUAUUUUGUGGAGUAUUUGAUAUGUAAUUAUAAAUUAUCAUGAUUUUUAAAUUAUAUUAUAUAUAUUAAUAAUUAUUAAUAAAACGAUUAUGCCCGCACAUGCGGACAAAACACCUAGUUUGUAAGUAAACAUGAUAUUUAUUCGAAGCAAUGGCAAGAAAGUGGUUAGAUAUUUGUAAUUCAUGUUCAAAAACAAAAUCACAUGCGCUUUUUUAUUAGCAAUAAUAAUGGUGCUCAUCGUUCUUUUCUUUUAAUAUUGUAGAUUAUUAUGGUUGAAGUGCACUAAAGAACAAGAGGUUUUGUUACAAGUAGGUUUUAUACUUCAUGUCUUACAAAAAUGUUAUUUUAAAUUUUUCCUAAAAAUUAAGAAAAAAUAAUUAAAAAUCUUAUAUUUUUGAUAAAUACAUUUAUUUAACCAAUAAUAUUUGAGAUAAAUAAACAUCUUUAUAAGAUCAAACAUUUUGGAGUGAAUAUUAAUGUUAAAAUUGAUAUAAAUUGUAUAUGAAUUCUAAAGUGACAUUCUUUGUGUUACAAAAAAUAUCAAAAUGACAAUUAUUGAAAACAGAAUAAGUAUGAUUUUAUCAUGGCAAGCUUUAAGUACGUAUUGUAUGUAUUAAAUGAUUGAUCAAAUCAAAAUCUCCUUAGAUUGACAUUUGGCAGUAAAGUAACUGAAAUGUAUUAGUCAGUGAAUAUUAAUACAUUUUCAAUUUGGUAAUAUGUCAAAGAAACACACAAAAACAUAUCUAUUGGCAACAAUAUAUUUGGAAUGUGCUAGUCAAUGGAAGUUAAUACAAUUUCUGCUUUGACUUUGAAUAUAUUCAGAGUCAAAUCAAUUUCUGUUUUGAAUUUGUAUAGUAUGAUUAAAGAUAUCUCAAAACAACAUAUCCUUAGACACAACUAUAAAAUAGAUUUCGAGACAUAGGCAAAAGUGAUACAUUGACAAUACUUUAAACAUGAAUUACACGAUUGGAUUCAUGAGCUUUCUCGUAAUUUCUUCAAUCUUCAACGUUCUCUUGGUUCCAGAAAAAGUAGAAGCAAUGAAAUGUCUUGGACCAUGUGAGUUUUACAACUGUAAGGUCGACUGCAAAAAAAGAGGAUAUCUGGCAGGCGAAUGCGUUGGUUGGAAUCAACCUGAUAUGUGUUGUUGCAUUCCUAAACUCCAUAACUAACAUUAUUGCAUGUCUAAAUGUUUUGAAACAUUCUUAAUAAUAAAUAUCGUCGCCUUGAUAAUAUGCAAGCAAUUUUUUUCUCUU